CUCUAUGUAGAGGAAACAGAGCCAUGGACACUGGAACAAAAUGGACUACAGGACAGCACUUGUGUUUCUAACAUACUGGACAGGUGUUGUUGGUCAGACUCUGACUGAAUCUGGUCCAGCUGUGAAAAGACCAGGAGAGUCCCAUAAACUGACCUGUACAACAUCUGGGUUCACAUUUAGCAGCUAUGGCAUGAGCUGGAUCAGACAGGCUCCUGGCCAGGGGCUGCAGUGGCUGGCUUACAUUAACAGCGGUGGUAGCACUUACUACUCUGAGUCAGUUAAAGGCAGGUUCACCAUCUCCAGAGACAACAGCAGAGACCAGCUGUAUCUGCAGAUGAAAAACCUCCAGACUGAGGACACGGCUGUGUACUACUGUGCCCGAGACCACAGUGAGAGAGUCACAGGAAGGACCUGAACAAAAACUCCCCUA